GCUGUCAGGUGAGACACAUGAAGCUCAGACUAUUUUAGUAAAUAUCUUCUUGAAGUGGCUGUGAAAUUGAAUAAUAUUUUCAUUAGAUGCUGGAAACUUCAUUGGAAUCAACCCAAGAUGAUGAACCCUAAAGAUGGGACAAAGUGCAUGACAAGGUGGCCCAGAGGAAGCCAAGUGUUCUCAACUUCUACAUUGCCCCAUUCUACCAAGAGCUCACUGUGUUUGAAUGAAGAAGACCUCUAGUGAGAUUGAGACUGGUGAGGAUUCCUUCAGUCAGAAGUUAUGUUGAAAAGAUGCAGGUGGAGUGCCAAAAAAAGAGACUGAACAUAAGUUCCCUACAAGACAAAAUUAAAAGGACUGAAAAGAUAACUUUUUAUGAAACAACAAGGCACCAAGGACAUCUUAAAACACUUUGUUUGUCAGCCAUUGUCACUGCAGCUAUUUUGCUCCUCCCCUACCUCUUCAAAGAACAUCCAAGUGGGCUGUACGUCACAGACAGGAUAAAAUCCUGCGACUUGUGACUGCAGGCCAACCAACAAC